rnacentral:rRNA from 1 species
CCUACGGGCGGCAGCAGUGGGGAAUAUUGCACAAUGGGCGCAAGCCUGAUGCAGCCAUGCCGCGUGUGUGAAGAAGGCCUUCGGGUUGUAAAGCACUUUCAGCGGGGAGGAAGGCGUUAAGGUUAAUAACCUUGGCGAUUGACGUUACCCGCAGAAGAAGCACCGGCUAACUCCGUGCCAGCAGCCGCGGUAAUACGGAGGGUGCAAGCGUUAAUCGGAAUUACUGGGCGUAAAGCGCACGCAGGCGGUCUGUCAAGUCGGAUGUGAAAUCCCCGGGCUCAACCUGGGAACUGCAUUCGAAACUGGCAGGCUAGAGUCUUGUAGAGGGGGGUAGAAUUCCAGGUGUAGCGGUGAAAUGCGUGGAGAUCUGGAGGAAUACCGGUGGCGAAGGCGGCCCCCUGGACAAAGACUGACGCUCAGGUGCGAAAGCGUGGGGAGCAAACAGGAUUAGAUACCCUAGUAGUC